GACGAACGCUGGCGGCGUGCUUAACACAUGCAAGUCGAACGGAAAGGCCCUGCUUGCAGGGUACUCGAGUGGCGAACGGGUGAGUAACACGUGGGUGACCUGCCCUGCACUUCGGGAUAAGCCUGGGAAACUGGGUCUAAUACCGGAUAGGAGCCAUUUUUAGUGUGAUGGUUGGAAAGUUUUUUCGGUGUAGGAUGAGCUCGCGGCCUAUCAGCUUGUUGGUGGGGUAAUGGCCUACCAAGGCGGCGACGGGUAGCCGGCCUGAGAGGGUGGACGGCCACAUUGGGACUGAGAUACGGCCCAGACUCCUACGGGAGGCAGCAGUGGGGAAUAUUGCACAAUGGGCGCAAGCCUGAUGCAGCGACGCCGCGUGGGGGAUGACGGCCUUCGGGUUGUAAACUCCUUUCGCUAGGGACGAGGCUUUUUGUGACGGUACCUAGAUAAGAAGCACCGGCUAACUACGUG
rnacentral:rRNA from 1 species